CAGUAGCCGCGGUAAUACGGAGGGUGCGAGCGUUAAUCGGAAUUACUGGGCGUAAAGCGUACGCAGGCGGUUUGUUAAGUCAGAUGUGAAAUCCCCGGGCUUAACCCGGGAACUGCAUUUGAAACUGGCAGGCUAGAGUCUCGUAGAGGGGGGUAGAAUUCCAGGUGUAGCGGUGAAAUGCGUAGAGAUCUGGAGGAAUACCGGUGGCGAAGGCGGCCCCCUGGACGAAGACUGACGCUCAGGUACGAAAGCGUGGGGAGCAAACAGGAUUAGAUACCCCAGUAGUCCCUGUCUCUUAUAC
rnacentral:rRNA from 1 species